rnacentral:rRNA from 1 species
AACGAACGCUGGCGGCGUGGAUUAGGCAUGCAAGUCGAACGAUCCUUCGGGAUAGUGGCAAAAGGGUGAGUAACACGUGGGUAACCUACCUCCGAAACCGGGAUAACUUCGCGAAAGUGAGGCUAAUACCGGAUGAUACCACCGUAUGGUGGAUAAAGAUGGCCUCUAUUUAUAAGCUGUCGAUUGGAGAGGGGCCCGGGUCCUAUCAGCUUGUUGGUGAGGUAAUGGCUCACCAAGGCAUUUGACGGGUAGCUGGUCUGAGAGGAUGGUCAGCCACACUGGGACUGAGACACUGCCCAGACUCCUACGGGAGGCUGCAGUCGAGAAUCUUUAGCAAUGGGCGAAAGCCUGACUAUGCGACGCCGCGUGAGCGAUGAAGUCCUUCGGGAUGUAAAGCUCUGUCAGGUGGGAUGAAGACUUUUCUCUUAACAGGGGAAGAGGUUGACGGUACCACCAGAGAAGCCACGCUAACU